rnacentral:rRNA from 1 species
AGAGUUGAUUAUGGCUCAGGAUGAACGCUAGCUACAGGCUUAACACAUGCAAGUCGAGGGGCAUCAUGGAGUUGCUGCAAACUCUGAUGGCGACCGGCGCACGGGUGAGUAACGCGUAUCCAACCUUCCCUAUAGUAGAGGAUAGCCCGGCGAAAGUCGGAUUAAUACUCUAUGUUUUCCGUUGCAGACAUCUAAGAUGGAACAAAGGCUUGCCGCUAUAGGAUGGGGAUGCGUCUGAUUAGGUAGUCGGCGGGGUAACGGCCCACCGAGCCAUCGAUCAGUAGGGGUUCUGAGAGGAAGGUCCCCCACAUUGGAACUGAGACACGGUCCAAACUCCUACGGGAGGCAGCAGUGAGGAAUAUUGGUCAAUGGGCGAGAGCCUGAACCAGCCAAGUAAGCGUGCAGGACGACGGCCCUAUGGGUUGUAAACCGCUUUUAUGCGGGGAUAAAGUUCACUACGUGUAGUGUUUUGUAGGUACCGCAUGAAUAAGGACCGGCUAAUUCCGUGCCAGCCGCGGC